rnacentral:pre_miRNA from 1 species
ACCUGAGUAACCUUUGCUAGUCCCAACUCAGCCGGAACUGUCUUAGUCAGGGUUCAUACUUUAGCAUCUCCCUCUGGGCUCAU